rnacentral:lncRNA from 1 species
CAGAACUAGUCACUCAAACCCUAGGUUUGCACCACUUGAAGUAGUUACACUACGAAGAUGAUCCGAGGUAACCUACUUUGUAUUGCUUAAGAAGAAAACUGGUUGUGCUUGCAUUUGCAGAUGAAUUUUCUCAUUCUCUGGCAGUUCAUGCAUCGAUUGUGCUGAAAUUUCUUAUUGGUGUUUCUUGAAGGACAUGAUUUUGCAGGUUCAAGUUGUAUCAAGCAGUGCAGUUUCUUCGUAUACAGACAUUACAUGACCUAAUAGCCUAUAUACUAGUAAUGCGGCCAACACUGAGAAGUCCAAAACAUCUUUGCCAUCUUAUGUCGAGCAUUCUAAUUCAAAACCAUUUUAUUUCCCUUCAAAACUUGAACAUUUCUGACAUGCUUAUAAGAUCCUGCAAGCAAUAUUCUUGACAAAUUUCCUACUUUUAUUGCGGAGGUUCUAAGUAAGAUAUUAAUACAUAAAUUUGUGAAUGCCCUUCAGCCUUGGCAUAGGUGGUAGAAGCGAUCUGUUGGCUUGAGGGAGUGUAGUUGAAUUGGAAAAGGUGUUGGGUUUAAAUCCUCCAAAAACUUUAAUAGUCCUACCAUUCUUAUGAAUCACUUUUCUUGGCUUCCUGCAGCACCCCGAUGGCCUCUUCCUUGGUCUCACUGAAGUCACUGCCAUCCUUGAAGAUGAGAAACUCCAUCAUCUCCACAUGGAAGAAAAUA